CUGAACCAUCAUAACUGUCUGAAUCAUCACCAUUGAUGCUUCCGUAGUCUGAGGAAAGGUACUUUAUGGAAUGAAAGUCAACUCACCUGGUGCUGCUAUCCCAGUCAAGGUUGCCAGGAAAACUCCAAAGUCCAAUCAUCAUUCAUGAAGUUUUGCAAGCAUUACCAAGAAGAACAAGACAGAAUGACAUCCUGUGCUCCUGAAUGUAAAUGGCAAGGCAUGAUCAA